rnacentral:rRNA from 1 species
CUCGUAGGCGGCCAACUAAGUCAGACGUGAAAUCCCCAGGCUCAACCUGGGAACUGCGUCUGAUACUGGAUGGCUUGAAUUCGGGAGAGGGAUGCAGAAUUCCAGGUGUAGCGGUGAAAUGCGUAGAUAUCUGGAGGAAUACCGGUGGCGAAGGCGGCAUCCUGGACCGACAUUGACGCUGAGGAGCGAAAGCUAGGGGAGACGAAACG